GAUGAAGAACGUAGCGAAAUGCGAUAAGUAGUGUGAAUUGCAGAAUUCAGUGAAUCAUCGAAUCUUUGAACGCACAUUGCGCCUCCUGGUAUUCCGGGAGGCAUGCCUGUUCGAGCGUCAUCAAAAACCUCAACCCAUGAUUUAUUGUGAGUUGGUUCUGCAUAGGACUCCUUGUGGGUCCUUUGCGAAAUCCAAUGGCGAAGAGCCACGCAACCAAAGCGUAGUAUAACUAUUUCGUUAUGGAAGCGUGGGUGCCUCUGCCGUAACCCCCAAUUUCUUAGUUUUUGACCUCGGAUCAGGUAGGGAUACCCGCUGAACUUAAGCAUAUCAAUAAGCGGAGGA
rnacentral:misc_RNA from 1 species